rnacentral:rRNA from 2 species
UCCGUAGGGGAACCUGCGGAAGGAUCAUUAACGU